GCCAGGUAUGGUGGUGCAUGCCUGUAGUCCCAGCUACUCAGGAGGCUGAGGCAGGAGGAUCACUUGAACCCAGGUGUUCAGGAUUAUAGUGAGCUGUGAUCACAUCACUGCAUUCCAGCCUGGACUACAGAGUGAGACCCUGUCUCUC
ensembl:misc_RNA Metazoa_SRP Metazoan signal recognition particle RNA